rnacentral:rRNA from 1 species
GGGUUGUGAGGUUAAGCGACUAAGCGUACACGGUGGAUGCCCUGGCAGUCAGAGGCGAUGAAGGACGUGCUAAUCUGCGAUAAGCGUCGGUAAGGUGAUAUGAACCGUUAUAACCGGCGAUUUCCGAAUGGGGAAACCCAGUGUGUUUCGACACACUAUCAUUAACUGAAUCCAUAGGUUAAUGAGGCGAACCGGGGGAACUGAAACAUCUAAGUACCCCGAGGAAAAGAAAUCAACCGAGAUUCCCCCAGUAGCGGCGAGCGAACGGGGAGGAGCCCAGAGCCUGAAUCAGUGUGUGUGUUAGUGGAAGCGUCUGGAAAGGCGCGCGAUACAGGGUGACAGCCCCGUACACAAAAAUGCACAUGCUGUGAGCUCGAUGAGUAGGGCGGGACACGUGGUAUCCUGUCUGAAUAUGGGGGGACCAUCCUCCAAGGCUAAAUACUCCUGACUGACCGAUAGUGAACCAGUACCGUGAGGGAAAGGCGAAAAGAACCCCGGCGAGGGGAGUGAAAAAGAACCUGAAACCGUGUACGUACAAGCAGUGGGAGCACGCUUCGGCGUGUGACUGCGUACCUUUUGUAUAAUGGGUCAGCGACUUAUAUUCUGUAGCAAGGUUAACCGAAUAGGGGAGCCGAAGGGAAACCGAGUCUUAACUGGGCGUUAAGUUGCAGGGUAUAGACCCGAAACCCGGUGAUCUAGCCAUGGGCAGGUUGAAGGUUGGGUAACACUAACUGGAGGACCGAACCGACUAAUGUUGAAAAAUUAGCGGAUGACUUGUGGCUGGGGGUGAAAGGCCAAUCAAACCGGGAGAUAGCUGGUUCUCCCCGAAAGCUAUUUAGGUAGCGCCUCGUGAACUCAUCUCCGGGGGUAGAGCACUGUUUCGGCAAGGGGGUCAUCCCGACUUACCAACCCGAUGCAAACUGCGAAUACCGGAGAAUGUUAUCACGGGAGACACACGGCGGGUGCUAACGUCCGUCGUGAAGAGGGAAACAACCCAGACCGCCAGCUAAGGUCCCAAAGUCAUGGUUAAGUGGGAAACGAUGUGGGAAGGCCCAGACAGCCAGGAUGUUGGCUUAGAAGCAGCCAUCAUUUAAAGAAAGCGUAAUAGCUCACUGGUCGAGUCGGCCUGCGCGGAAGAUGUAACGGGGCUAAACCAUGCACCGAAGCUGCGGCAGCGACGCUUAUGCGUUGUUGGGUAGGGGAGCGUUCUGUAAGCCUGUGAAGGUGUGCUGUGAGGCAUGCUGGAGGUAUCAGAAGUGCGAAUGCUGACAUAAGUAACGAUAAAGCGGGUGAAAAGCCCGCUCGCCGGAAGACCAAGGGUUCCUGUCCAACGUUAAUCGGGGCAGGGUGAGUCGACCCCUAAGGCGAGGCCGAAAGGCGUAGUCGAUGGGAAACAGGUUAAUAUUCCUGUACUUGGUGUUACUGCGAAGGGGGGACGGAGAAGGCUAUGUUGGCCGGGCGACGGUUGUCCCGGUUUAAGCGUGUAGGCUGGUUUUCCAGGCAAAUCCGGAAAAUCAAGGCUGAGGCGUGAUGACGAGGCACUACGGUGCUGAAGCAACAAAUGCCCUGCUUCCAGGAAAAGCCUCUAAGCAUCAGGUAACAUCAAAUCGUACCCCAAACCGACACAGGUGGUCAGGUAGAGAAUACCAAGGCGCUUGAGAGAACUCGGGUGAAGGAACUAGGCAAAAUGGUGCCGUAACUUCGGGAGAAGGCACGCUGAUAUGUAGGUGAAGUCCCUCGCGGAUGGAGCUGAAAUCAGUCGAAGAUACCAGCUGGCUGCAACUGUUUAUUAAAAACACAGCACUGUGCAAACACGAAAGUGGACGUAUACGGUGUGACGCCUGCCCGGUGCCGGAAGGUUAAUUGAUGGGGUCAGCGCAAGCGAAGCUCUUGAUCGAAGCCCCGGUAAACGGCGGCCGUAACUAUAACGGUCCUAAGGUAGCGAAAUUCCUUGUCGGGUAAGUUCCGACCUGCACGAAUGGCGUAAUGAUGGCCAGGCUGUCUCCACCCGAGACUCAGUGAAAUUGAACUCGCUGUGAAGAUGCAGUGUACCCGCGGCAAGACGGAAAGACCCCGUGAACCUUUACUAUAGCUUGACACUGAACAUUGAGCCUUGAUGUGUAGGAUAGGUGGGAGGCUUGGAAGUGUGGACGCCAGUCUGCAUGGAGCCGACCUUGAAAUACCACCCUUUAAUGUUUGAUGUUCUAACGUUGACCCGUAAUCCGGGUUGCGGACAGUGUCUGGUGGGUAGUUUGACUGGGGCGGUCUCCUCCUAAAGAGUAACGGAGGAGCACGAAGGUUGGCUAAUCCUGGUCGGACAUCAGGAGGUUAGUGCAAUGGCAUAAGCCAGCUUGACUGCGAGCGUGACGGCGCGAGCAGGUGCGAAAGCAGGUCAUAGUGAUCCGGUGGUUCUGAAUGGAAGGGCCAUCGCUCAACGGAUAAAAGGUACUCCGGGGAUAACAGGCUGAUACCGCCCAAGAGUUCAUAUCGACGGCGGUGUUUGGCACCUCGAUGUCGGCUCAUCACAUCCUGGGGCUGAAGUAGGUCCCAAGGGUAUGGCUGUUCGCCAUUUAAAGUGGUACGCGAGCUGGGUUUAGAACGUCGUGAGACAGUUCGGUCCCUAUCUGCCGUGGGCGCUGGAGAACUGAGGGGGGCUGCUCCUAGUACGAGAGGACCGGAGUGGACGCAUCACUGGUGUUCGGGUUGUCAUGCCAAUGGCACUGCCCGGUAGCUAAAUGCGGAAGAGAUAAGUGCUGAAAGCAUCUAAGCACGAAACUUGCCCCGAGAUGAGUUCUCCCUGACUCCUUGAGAGUCCUGAAGGAACGUUGAAGACGACGACGUUGAUAGGCCGGGUGUGUAAGCGCAGCGAUGCGUUGAGCUAACCGGUACUAAUGAACCGUGAGGCUUAACCUUACAACGCCGAAG